UACGGAGGGUGCUAGCGUUGUUCGGAAUUACUGGGCGUAAAGGGCGCGUAGGCGGCCUGAUCAGUCGGGUGUGAAAGCCCGGGGCUCAACCCCGGAACGGCACCCGAGACGGUCAGGCUGGAGACCGGGAGAGGAGGGUGGAAUAGCCAGUGUAGAGGUGAAAUUCGUAGAUAUUGGCUGGAACACCGGUGGCGAAAGCGGCUCUCUGGCCCGGUUCUGACGCUGAGGCGCGAAAGCGUGGGGAGCAAACAGG
rnacentral:rRNA from 1 species